UGUCCGGAAUUAUUGGGCGUAAAGAGCUCGUAGGCGGUGUGUCGCGUCGGCCGUGAAAACCUGCAGCUUAACUGUGGGCUUGCGGUCGAUACGGGCAUCACUGGAGUUCGGCAGGGGAGACUGGAAUUCCUGGUGUAGCGGUGAAAUGCGCAGAUAUCAGGAGGAACACCGGUGGCGAAGGCGGGUCUCUGGGCCGAUACUGACGCUGAGGAGCGAAAGCGUGGGGAGCGAACAGG
rnacentral:rRNA from 1 species